rnacentral:rRNA from 1 species
GUGAGGAAUAUUGCGCAAUGGAGGCAACUCUGACGCAGCCAUGCCGCGUGCAGGAAGAAGGCGCUACGCGUUGUAAACUGCUUUUAACCGGGAAGAAACCCCAGGACGUGUCCUGGGUUGACAGUACCGGAGGAAUAAGCACCGGCUAACUUCGUGCCAGCAGCCGCGGUAAUACGAAGGGUGCAAGCGUUAUCCGGAUUCAUUGGGUUUAAAGGGUGCGUAGGCGGAGCGUUAAGUCAGUGGUGAAAUCCUGCAGCUUAACUGUAGACUUGCCAUUGAUACUGGCGCUCUUGAGUGCGCUUGAAGUGGGCGGAAUGUGCCGUGUAGCGGUGAAAUGCUUAGAUAUGGCACAGAACACCAAUUGCGAAGGCAGCUCACUAAGGCGAUACUGACGCUGAGGCACGAAAGCGUGGGGAUCGAACAGGAUUAGAUACCCGAGUAGUCC